rnacentral:rRNA from 1 species
AAUCCAUAGGUUAAUGAGGCGAACCGGGGGAACUGAAACAUCUAAGUACCCCGAGGAAAAGAAAUCAACCGAGAUUCCCCCAGUAGCGGCGAGCGAACGGGGAGGAGCCCAGAGCCUGAAUCAGCAUGUGUGUUAGUGGAAGCGUCUGGAAAGGCGCGCGAUACAGGGUGACAGCCCCGUACACAAAAGCGCAUGUGCUGUGAGCUCGAUGAGUAGGGCGGGACACGUGGUAUCCUGUCUGAAUAUGGGGGGACCAUCCUCCAAGGCUAAAUACUCCUGACUGACCGAUAGUGAACCAGUACCGUGAGGGAAAGGCGAAAAGAACCCCGGCGAGGGGAGUGAAAAAGAACCUGAAACCGUGUACGUACAAGCAGUGGGAGCACAGGUUUACCUGUGUGACUGCGUACCUUUUGUAUAAUGGGUCAGCGACUUA